rnacentral:rRNA from 1 species
UAAGCCUGUGAAGGUGGCCUGUGAGGGUUGCUGGAGGUAUCAGAAGUGCGAAUGCUGACAUAAGUAACGAUAAAGCGGGUGAAAAGCCCGCUCGCCGGAAGACCAAGGGUUCCUGUCCAACGUUAAUCGGGGCAGGGUGAGUCGACCCCUAAGGCGAGGCCGAAAGGCGUAGUCGAUGGGAAACGGGUUAAUAUUCCCGUACUUGGUGUUACUGCGAAGGGGGGACGGAGAAGGCUAUGUUGGCCGGGCGACGGUUGUCCCGGUUUAAGCGUGUAGG